AAUCAGUGUGUGUGUUAGUGGAAGCGUCUGGAAAGGCGCGCGAUACAGGGUGACAGCCCCGUACACAAAAAUGCACAUGCUGUGAGCUCGAUGAGUAGGGCGGGACACGUGGUAUCCUGUCUGAAUAUGGGGGGACCAUCCUCCAAGGCUAAAUACUCCUGACUGACCGAUAGUGAACCAGUACCGUGAGGGAAAGGCGAAAAGAACCCCGGCGAGGGGAGUGAAAAAGAACCUGAAACCGUGUACGUACAAGCAGUGGGAGCACGCUUAGGCGUGUGACUGCGUACCUUUUGUAUAAUGGGUCAGCGACUUAUAUUCUGUAGCAAGGUUAACCGAAUAGGGGAGCCGAAGGGAAACCGAGUCUUAACUGGGCGUUAAGUUGCAGGGUAUAGACCCGAAACCCGGUGAUCUAGCCAUGGGCAGGUUGAAGGUUGGGUAACACUAACUGGAGGACCGAACCGACUAAUGUUGAAAAAUUAGCGGAUGACUUGUGGCUGGGGGUGAAAGGCCAAUCAAACCGGGAGAUAGCUGGUUCUCCCCGAAAGCUAUUUAGGUAGCGCCUCGUGAAUUCAUCUCCGGGGGUAGAGCACUGUUUCGGCAAGGGGGUCAUCCCGACUUACCAACCCGAUGCAAACUGCGAAUACCGGAGAAUGUUAUCACGGGAGACACACGGCGGGUGCUAACGUCCGUCGUGAAGAGGGAAACAACCCAGACCGCCAGCUAAGGUCCCAAAGUCAUGGUUAAGUGGGAAACGAUGUGGGAAGGCCCAGACAGCCAGGAUGUUGGCUUAGAAGCAGCCAUCAUUUAAAGAAAGCGUAAUAGCUCACUGGUCGAGUCGGCCUGCGCGGAAGAUGUAACGGGGCUAAACCAUGCACCGAAGCUGCGGCAGCGACGCUGAUGCGUUGUUGGGUAGGGGAGCGUUCUGUAAGCCUGCGAAGGUGUGCUGUGAGGCAUGCUGGAGGUAUCAGAAGUGCGAAUGCUGACAUAAGUAACGAUAAAGCGGGUGAAAAGCCCGCUCGCCGGAAGACCAAGGGUUCCUGUCCAACGUUAAUCGGGGCAGGGUGAGUCGACCCCUAAGGCGAGGCCGAAAGGCGUAGUCGAUGGGAAACAGGUUAAUAUUCCUGUACUUGGUGUUACUGCGAAGGGGGGACGGAGAAGGCUAUGUUGGCCGGGCGACGGUUGUCCCGGUUUAAGCGUGUAGGCUGGUUUUCCAGGCAAAUCCGGAAAAUCAAGGCUGAGGCGUGAUGACGAGGCACUACGGUGCUGAAGCAACAAAUGCCCUGCUUCCAGGAAAAGCCUCUAAGCAUCAGGUAACAUCAAAUCGUACCCCAAACCGACACAGGUGGUCAGGUAGAGAAUACCAAGGCGCUUGAGAGAACUCGGGUGAAGGAACUAGGCAAAAUGGUGCCGUAACUUCGGGAGAAGGCACGCUGAUAUGUAGGUGAAGUCCCUUGCGGAUGGAGCUGAAAUCAGUCGAAGAUACCAGCUGGCUGCAACUGUUUAUUAAAAACACAGCACUGUGCAAACACGAAAGUGGACGUAUACGGUGUGACGCCUGCCCGGUGCCGGAAGGUUAAUUGAUGGGGUCAGCGCAAGCGAAGCUCUUGAUCGAAGCCCCGGUAAACGGCGGCCGUAACUAUAACGGUCCUAAGGUAGCGAAAUUCCUUGUCGGGUAAGUUCCGACCUGCACGAAUGGCGUAAUGAUGGCCAGGCUGUCUCCACCCGAGACUCAGUGAAAUUGAACUCGCUGUGAAGAUGCAGUGUACCCGCGGCAAGACGGAAAGACCCCGUGAACCUUUACUAUAGCUUGACACUGAACAUUGAGCCUUGAUGUGUAGGAUAGGUGGGAGGCUUGGAAGUGUGGACGCCAGUCUGCAUGGAGCCGACCUUGAAAUACCACCCUUUAAUGUUUGAUGUUCUAACGUUGACCCGUAAUCCGGGUUGCGGACAGUGUCUGGUGGGUAGUUUGACUGGGGCGGUCUCCUCCUAAAGAGUAACGGAGGAGCACGAAGGUUGGCUAAUCCUGGUCGGACAUCAGGAGGUUAGUGCAAUGGCAUAAGCCAGCUUGACUGCGAGCGUGACGGCGCGAGCAGGUGCGAAAGCAGGUCAUAGUGAUCCGGUGGUUCUGAAUGGAAGGGCCAUCGCUCAACGGAUAAAAGGUACUCCGGGGAUAACAGGCUGAUACCGCCCAAGAGUUCAUAUCGACGGCGGUGUUUGGCACCUCGAUGUCGGCUCAUCACAUCCUGGGGCUGAAGUAGGUCCCAAGGGUAUGGCUGUUCGCCAUUUAAAGUGGUACGCGAGCUGGGUUUAGAACGUCGUGAGACAGUUCGGUCCCUAUCUGCCGUGGGCGCUGGAGAACUGAGGGGGGCUGCUCCUAGUACGAGAGGACCGGAGUGGACGCAUCACUGGUGUUCGGGUUGUCAUGCCAAUGGCACUGCCCGGUAGCUAAAUGCGGAAGAGAUAAGUGCUGAAAGCAUCUAAGCACGAAACUUGCC
rnacentral:rRNA from 1 species